rfam:Schistosoma curassoni strain Dakar, Senegal genome assembly, scaffold: SCTD_scaffold0001132
AUCCAGCUGAUGAGUUUCAAAUAAAAUGAAAUAUGCGUCCUGGAU